UCAGCUGUGCUGGUGCAGCCAGCACAGAGAGGAGGCUUUGAAACAUAACAUCUUCUCACAAAGAACCAUUGUUUCCAACAGAGGGAUCAGAAUAGCGCUGCUCCUGUCUUCUGGGUUGAUGUAAACAGUCUGGGUAGACCAGGGUCUUAUCUCCAUCUACAGCUGAGGAGGCCGGAGACAAUUUGAUAGAAGCUGCACUUCAGUGACCACAGGCACACACAGAGAGUCUGCACAGGUUCACCCAAAGAUCUAUUUCCAAAAGCUGAGCUUUUCCUAGAACAGCCAUAAUAUCUGGCUUUAUUCCACAUUUGUUUUUACCUUGCUGCUUCUCCUGAAGAAAGCCCUAUGACAAAAAUUGGCAAUAAAAUUAUUAACCAUAAUCAUUUUUAUCUUAAACCAACUCACUUAUGUUUAAUAACCACUGAAGUAGGUGAGUUAAAAAUAACCUCGUAUUCUAUUUCUCCUUCUGGGUGACUGGCGUCUCUUUCCAUUCAAAAUUAGAGAAAAUACCAAAGCUCAGCCGUGAUCUUCCUUCUAGAGGCUUGUUGGAACUCCAAACACAUACCCCUGACAGAUACAACAGGGAUUAAUGAGCCAUGACCAGAAGUUUGAUUUUUCUGUCAAGUGCUCCCAUCCGUCUUUAAUAAACAGAAGAACAACAUAAACUCCAUUGCCUGCCUUCCACUGCUGAAACUGAGCUGGCUGUUCCUGGUACCGUGUGUGUUGAGUUGAGUUAUGAUUCUAAAUGACUUGACAAACGCUUUUACAAGCCCCUUUGGUCUGCUACUCUGGUGACUGUCUUUGCUCCCCAAGUUCCAUUUCUUUGCCUCUGUUCAACGUGGGCAGCUCAGUGCUUUGCCAGUGGAAACCGUCAAAUGUAAUAUCACAUUUACAACUAAACGACUUCAAUUUAGUGUCACUGGUGCACUAUCUGUGGUGUAAAACUGCCAAAAUACCCACUGUUUUCCCUUUAAGCCAUGCUGUGUGCGUUUUUGCAGAAGGCUGUCUCCUGCGAGGACCAGAAGUUGAGCCAAGGCACAGGGAACCUACAGUAGCAGAUGGUAAGAACCAGGGCAGAAGGAGGACUCCUGAAGCCUCCGAAGGAAGGAAAUCAUUACAGGGCCCUACAGAAGUAGGUCAUGUGCUACAGCUGCUCAUAGUUUGAGAGGAAGAAACACGGGACCUCAAACCUGGAACACGACUCUUUCAAAAUGCUUGUGAGUAACCCAAGGAAAACAUCCUCCCCAGGCUUAUCUAAUAACCAUGAUCUCUAAUCGUCUCAAUGUGUGCUCAGGUUUCCUUAGGAGUUUGCACCCACUUCUCAGAGCUAACGAGACGCCGAUACAGAACACAGCAAAAAGUAAUGAAGGAGAUUUAAUAGUUUGUGUUAAAGCUAAUAUGGUCCAUUAGGAGCUGUCAUUUUUAUAAACAAUGAGGAUAUGUUACCCUCUUCUUUGGUGUAAAGUCAUUCCAUGCAGGACCUGUAAACAUUCGGUAAUGAUCUGUAGAACAUGCAUGAAUGACAAUUAAAGCGCCACUUGAAAAGUCUGCUUUCCUCACAUAUUUGGUUUCUCGCUAAAUAAACUUGUAAAGUUCA